UAGGGAGACCAUCUGACAGCAGACCGAACCUAAAUAUUAGGUCAAUGUCAGUCAUCCCUGGUCGUUCGAGAUAAUAGAGUCAAAGCUUUCAAACUAUUAACUGGUUCAGAACAUGGGCUAUUAGCUCAGUUGGUUAGAGCGCACCCCUGAUAAGGGUGAGGUCCCUGGUUCAAAUCCAGGAUGGCCCACCUGGAAAACAAGUAAGGAAAUUUAAGUAAUGAGUCAUGAAUGAUACAUCUAUUCAGAACUCAGGCACUCAAAAAUCCCAGCUAAUUAGUGGGGGUAUAGCUCAGUUGGUAGAGCGCCUGCCUUGCACGCAGGAAGUCAGCGGUACGAGUCCGCUUACCUCCACUCUCAUUCACCCAACCAAAAAUCAUCAUACACUCAGAAUAUAGAAAUCAGCACCCUAACCGGCUCUUUGGGCUUGUGGGAAUGCUGGAGUCUCGACUCUAGUCAGAACCUUGAAAACUGCAUAGCAAUUAAGUCAUCAAUCAGCAGGUAAGUCUUCCGAGUCAUCGGAAUAUCUUACUCAGACCAUCAAAAAAUCAAGU
rnacentral:tRNA from 1 species